AUUCCUUGUCGGGUAAGUUCCGACCUGCACGAAUGGCGUAACGAUGGCCACACUGUCUCCUCCUGAGACUCAGCGAAGUUGAAAUGUUUGUGAUGAUGCAAUCUCCCCGCGGAAAGACGGAAAGACCCCAUGAACCUUUACUGUAGCUUUGCAUUGGACUUUGAACCGGUUUGUGUAGGAUAGGUGGGAGGCUUUGAAGCAGGAACGCUAGUUCUUGUGGAGCCAACCUUGAAAUACCACCCUGAUCUGUUUGAGGUUCUAACCUUGACCCAUUAUCUGGGUCGGGGACCGUGCAUGGUGGGCAGUUUGACUGGGGCGGUCUCCUCC
rnacentral:rRNA from 14 species